GUUUCCAGAAUUUGCGAGAAAAAUAUGAUCUGGGGACACAUGACCUUUACAGAUAUCUAUAACUAAGAGAUUAUUACAGAAAGGAAAUCCAGGUUGACCCCUCCAGGGAAGUGAACAGUGUGAUCCAAAUCAUUAUCAAAGCAUAUAAGGAAAGAAAAGUGAGUAAUUUCAGCA